CCUCCCCCUACACCAGCGUGCUGCAGAUCUUGGAAGAAGCCUGCGCCAAGUUCAACUAUGACCCAGACCUGUACACCCUCAAGCACGCAGGACGCCCCCUAGACGUGUCGUGCAGC